GACGAACGCUGGCGGCGUGCCUAAUACAUGCAAGUAGAACGCUGAAGGAGGAGCUUGCUUCUCUGGAUGAGUUGCGAACGGGUGAGUAACGCGUAGGUAACCUGCCUGGUAGCGGGGGAUAACUAUUGGAAACGAUAGCUAAUACCGCAUAAGAGUAGAUGUUGCAUGACAUUUGCUUAAAAGGUGCAAUUGCUUCACUACCAGAUGGACCUGCGUUGUAUUAGCUAGUUGGUGGGGUAACGGCUCACCAAGGCGACGAUACAUAGCCGACCUGAGAGGGGGAUCGGCCACACUGGGACUGAGACACGGCACAGACGCCUACGGGAGGCAGCAGUAGGGAAUCGUCGGCAAUGGACGGAAGUCUGACCGAGAAACGCCGCGGGAGUGAAGAAGGUUGUCGGAUCGUAAAGCUCUGUUGUAAGAGAAGAACGAGUGUGAGAGUGGAAAGUUCACACUGUGACGGUAUCUUAUCAGAAAGGGACGGCUAACUACGUG
rnacentral:rRNA from 1 species